GGACGGGUGAGUAACACGUGGGCAACCUGCCUGUAAGACUGGGAUAACUCCGGGAAACCGGGGCUAAUACCGGAUAAUUCAUUCCCUCUCAUGAGGGAAUGCUGAAAGACGGUUUCGGCUGUCACUUACAGAUGGGCCCGCGGCGCAUUAGCUAGUUGGUGAGGUAACGGCUCACCAAGGCCACGAUGCGUAGCCGACCUGAGAGGGUGAUCGGCCACACUGGGACUGAGACACGGCCCAGACUCCUACGGGAGGCAGCAGUAGGGAAUCUUCCGCAAUGGACGAAAGUCUGACGGAGCAACGCCGCGUGAGCGAUGAAGGCCUUCGGGUCGUAAAGCUCUGUUGUUAGGGAAGAACAAGUAUCGGAGUAACUGCCGGUACCUUGACGGUACCUAACCAGAAAGCCACGGCUAACUACGUGCCAGCAGCCGCGGUAAUACGUAGGUGGCAAGCGUUGUCCGGAAUUAUUGGGCGUAAAGCGCGCGCAGGCGGUCCUUUAAGUCUGAUGUGAAAGCCCACGGCUCAACCGUGGAGGGUCAUUGGAAACUGGGGGACUUGAGUGCAGAAGAGGAGAGUGGAAUUCCACGUGUAGCGGUGAAAUGCGUAGAGAUGUGGAGGAACACCAGUGGCGAAGGCGACUCUCUGGUCUGUAACUGACGCUGAGGCGCGAAAGCGUGGGGAGCGAACAGGAUUAGAUACCCUGGUAGUCCACGCCGUAAACGAUGAGUGCUAAGUGUUAGAGGGUUUCCGCCCUUUAGUGCUGCAGCAAACGCAUUAAGCACUCCGCCUGGGGAGUACGGCCGCAAGGCUGAAACUCAAAGGAAUUGACGGGGGCCCGCACAAGCGGUGGAACCUGGUGGUUUAAUUCGAAGCAACGCGAAGAACCUUACCAGGUCUUGACAUCCUCUGACACCUCUGGAGACAGAGCUUUCCCCUUCGGGGGACAAAAUGACAGGGGGGGCAUGGUUGUCCUCAGCUCCUGUCCUGAAAAGUUUGGGUUAAGUCCCGCAACGAGCGCAACCCUUGUCCUUAGUUGCCAGCAUUCAGUUGGGCACUCUAAGGAAACUGCCGUGACAACCCGGAGGAAAAGGGGGGGAUGACGUCAAAUCAUCAGGCCCCUUAUGACCGGGGCUACCACGGGCU
rnacentral:rRNA from 3 species